CCUACGGGAGGCAGCAGUGGGGAAUAUUGGACAAUGGGGGGAACCCUGAUCCAGCGACGCCGCGUGAGUGAAGAAGUAUUUCGGUAUGUAAAGCUCUAUCAGCAGGGAAGAAAAUGACGGUACCUGACUAAGAAGCCCCGGCUAACUACGUGCCAGCAGCCGCGGUAAUACGUAGGGGGCAAGCGUUAUCCGGAUUUACUGGGGGUAAAGGGAGCGUAGACGGUGCAGCAAGUCUGAUGUGAAAGGUCGGGGCUCAACCCCGGGACUGCAUUUGAAACUGUUGAACUGGAGUAUAGUAGAGGUAAGCGGAAUGCAUAGUGUAGCGGUGAAAUGCGUAGAGAUCAGGAGGAACACCAGUGGCGAAGGCGGCUUACUGGACUGUAACUGACGUUGAGGCUCGAAAGCGUGGGGAGCAAACAGGAUUAGAUACCCGUGUAGUC
rnacentral:rRNA from 1 species